rnacentral:rRNA from 1 species
AAUAAACGCUGGCGGCGUGCUUAACACAUGCAAGUCGAGCGAGAAAAGUCUUCGGACUAAGUAAAGCGGCGAACGGGUGAGUAACGCGUAGGAAUCUGCCUUUUAGUGGAGAAUACCCUCGAGAAAUCGAGGUUAAUACUGCAUACGUCUAGAAAUAGAGAAAGAUGGCCUCUUGCUGUCGCUAAAAGAUGAGCCUGCGUACUAUUAGCUAGUUGGUAGGGUAAUGGCCUACCAAGGCGAUGAUGGUUAGCCGGCCUGAGAGGGUGUACGGCCACAC